UACGUAGGGUGCAAGCGUUGUCCGGAAUUAUUGGGCGUAAAGAGCUCGUAGGCGGUUCGUCGCGUCGGCUGUGAAAACCCGGAGCUCAACUCCGGGCCUGCAGUUGAUACGGGCAGGCUAGAGUUCGGUAGGGGAGACUGGAAUUCCUGGUGUAGCGGUGAAAUGCGCAGAUAUCAGGAGGAACACCGGUGGCGAAGGCGGGUCUCUGGGCCGAUACUGACGCUGAGGAGCGAAAGCGUGGGGAGCGAACAGG
rnacentral:rRNA from 1 species